ensembl:lncRNA LINC01198 long intergenic non-protein coding RNA 1198
GAUAUUGUUCGUUAUAUCCUUGGGGGAUGUUAUUCCUAAUGUCACACGGGGUGUACUCCCUGUCAUAUUAUUCAUAAUAUCCAAGGGGGAUGUUAUUUUUAUUGUCACCGGGGGUGACAUUACAUAUUAAAAAUGCAUAUUCAACACCUGUGAUACUAUUCCUAAUAUCCUAGGGGCAUGCUCUUCCGAAUGUCACAUGGGGUGUACUCCAUGUGUGUACACCUGCUGUGAUAUUAUUCAUAAUAUCCUAGGGGAAUGUUACUCCUGAUGACACAGGCGGUGUACACCAUGUGUGUAACCCUCCUGUGUUAUUAUUCAUAAUAUCCUAGGGGGAUGUUUCUUUUAAUGUCACAAAGUGUGUACAAAACGUCACAGAGGUGUACACGCUGUGAUGUGAUCUGUAAUACCCUAGAAGGAUGUUACUCCUAAUGUAUCACAGGGGUGUACAUGCUUUGAUGUUAUUUGCAAUCUCAUAGAGAGAUAUUACUUCAAAUAUCACAGUGGAUGUACACACAUAGUAUAUACCCUGUGAUAGUAUUCAUAAUAUCCUAGGAAGAUACAACUCCUGAUAUCAGUGUGUGUACCCCGUGUGUGUACACCCUUGAUGUUAGUCGUAAUAUCCAGGGUAAAUAUUACUCCUCAUAUCACACAGUGUGCACACCCUGUGAUAUUUUUCCUCAUACUUUAGGGAGAUAUUGCUUCUAAUAUCACAGUGGGUGUACCCCAUCUGUGUAUACUCUGUGACAGUAUAUUCUAUAUCCUAGGGAGGUAUUACUCCUAAUAUCACAUUGUGUGUUCACCCUGUGAUAUCAUUCUUAUUUGACCUUGCUGCCUUUUUUAACCCACACUACAAAAGGAAUGGAACAGAUAAGAAGAUACUGAAAUUGGACGGUGCUGCCGUGCGGCUGCCGCAGGACACCUUUAAUAUCCCUGUUUCUCAGGCUGUAGAUGAAGGGGUUCAGCAUGGAGGUGAUCACCGUGUACAUCACUGAGGCCACUGCAGCCUUUCUCGGGGAAGAUGACACAUCUGAACUGAGGUACCCUCCAAAGCCUGUUCCGUAAAAUCAGCAAACAACUGACAGGAUAACUUCAGGAAGUGGGUAUUAAUUCUCACGGUAUAAGUGAAGACAUUAAGCACCAGAGUUUAAGUAGCUUGAUCCACUGAAAGAGAUUCAACUGUGUGGAACCUAUGCCGUGGAGAAUUGCUUUCUGCCAUUGUUAUCGUCCAGCAGUUGCCGAAUAGCUCUGACCUGAGCAAAGCAGUGAAACGCGGUGCUGUUGAGUGGGUUGCCACUGCACCUUUUUCAACUACUCUAGUCUUGUGGAGAAAAUACCCCUUCUAAAUUUUUUCUUCAUUGAAUACUCUCCCUCAGCUCCAGAGUACCAUAUAGAGUUUUCUUGUAUUUUAGAGUUACUGUUUUAUCAAAGUUUACCAGUCUUUUGUAUUACAUUUCUCCUGUCUAAAUCGACUGUGUGGUUUCUACUCAUUAUGGAUAUAGAUUGAUACAAACUCAAUAAAUAUUUUUGAAUGAAUAA